UAGAACUGCGUUAUGGAAAAGUUGCAUGAGGUGUGGAAGCUGGCAGUGAAGCGGCAGCCACCGCGCUCUGAAGGUUAGUGUGGGGCGCAAGGUGCUGCAGCAGCUCACGCACUGAUCCACAGGCGACUCGGCUGGUGCGGGGCAGCAGGGCGCCUGCAUCUCCGCUCCCCGCUCUGGACCUCCCCCUGCAGCUUCUCUGCGUCCUGGCCCGGUGUGUGUGCAGCUCCAUGACGAAGGGGCCCAGCUUCCAUGUAGUUGAAGUUGAGAUGAUGGGAGACAGAUAUGGGGUGCAGGGGGUCCUCAUGGAUUUCAGGUUGUCCUUGUGAAUUACUGUUUGUUCCCAUAGGUUACAGUAAUCUUGCCCUUGCUCUCCUCCACUGCAUGUCCUACCUUCCUUCCGUUCCAGGCCUGCCAACCUACAGGGACUUCAGGAUUGACUCCCACCAAAUGAGAGGCUAUUUCCACAAGAAAAGAAAGAGUGGUUAGAAAUCUGUGGUUCCAGGUUCCGCCAGUCGCUGUUGGGUCUUGGGUGACCGAAUGUGUUGGAAGGAGCCAGUGAUGACUCAGGGACUUCCGGAUCAGUCCGACAUGGGAGUGCUGGGGACAAUUCAAGAGGAGAGG